GGCAGAUGGGACGCUACUGUGGAGUAGACCUGCCCCCUCCAGGGAGUACUACAAGCUCCAAGCUUCAAGUGCUGCUCCUUACAGAUGGGGUUGGCCGCCGUGAGAAAGGAUUUCAGAUGCAGUGGUUUGUUUACGAAUCAAGGCCAUCAGGCUACAGAUGGUCUUACAAAUGGAACCCCAAAUGAGCUCAACUAACAACUUCUAUCAAGGACCCCUGGACCGACCCACUGGCCCUUUCAUUAGCCUAAAGAGUUCCCCUCUGGAGGACACUACAACUUCAGGGCCCCUUCUUUGCCCCUAUCCAGCGGGAAGUAGCUAGAGUGGUCAUCACCCAAUUCCCAGCAGCAGUUGGGGUGUCCUGUUUAGAGGGGGGAUUAAGAGGUGAAGCCAGCUGAGCUUCUGGGUCAGGUGGGGACUUGGAGAACUUUUCUGUCUAGCUAAAGGUUUGUAAAUGCACCAAUCAGCGCUCUGUGUCUAGCUAAAGGUUUGUAAAUGCACCAAUCAGCACUUUGUAAAAACACACCAAUCUGCGCUCUGUGUCUAACUAAAGGUUUGUAAACGCACCGAUCAGCACUCUGUAAAAAUGGACCAAUCUGCGCUCUGUAAAAUGGACCAAUCAGUGCUCUGUAAAAUGGACCAAUCAGCAGGACGUGGGCAGGGCCAAAUAAGGGAAUAAAAGCUGGCCACCCGAGCUAGCAGCGGCAACCUGCUCGGGUCCCCUUCCACGCUGUGGAAGCUUUGUUCUCUCACUCUUCACAAUAAAUCUUGCUGCUGCUC
rnacentral:lncRNA from 10 species